rnacentral:rRNA from 1 species
UGGGGAAUAUUGCACAAUGGCCGAAAGGCUGAUGCAGCAACGCCGCGUGAGCGAAGAAGGCCUUCGGGUUGUAAAGCUCUGUUGCCUGCGAAGAAGGGCCCUGUCAGGAAAUGGGCGGGGUUUGACGGUAGCAGGCGAGGAAGCCCCGGCAAACUACGUGCCAGCAGCCGCGGUAAUACGUAGGGGGCGAGCGUUGUCCGGAAUUACUGGGCGUAAAGGGCGUGUAGGCGGCCUGUUAAGUCAGGGGUGAAAGACCGGGGCUCAACCCCGGGGGUGCCUCUGAAACUGGCGGGCUUGAGUGCUCUAGAGGGCAGUGGAAUUCCCGGUGUAGCAGUGAAAUGCGUAGAGAUCGGGAGGAACACCAGUGGCGAAGGCGGCUGCCUGGGGAGUCACUGACGCUGAGGCGCGAAAGCUAGGGGAGCAAACAGG